ACGGAAGGCAGCAGUGGGGAAUAUUGGGCAAUGGGCGCAAGCCUGACCCAGCAACGCCGCGUGAAGGAAGAAGGCUUUCGGGUUGUAAACUUCUUUUACCAGGGACGAAGAAAUGACGGUACCUGGAGAAUAAGCCACGGCUAACUACGUGCCAGCAGCCGCGGUAAUACGUAGGUGGCAAGCGUUGUCCGGAUUCACUGGGUGUAAAGGGCGUGUAGGCGGAUUUGCAAGUCAGAUGUGAAAUCUAUGGGCUCAACUCAUAACGUGCAUUUGAAACUGUAGAUCUUGAGUGAUGGAGAGGCAGGCGGAAUUCCUAGUGUAGCGGUGAAAUGCGUAGAUAUUAGGAGGAACACCAGUGGCGAAGGCGGCCUGCUGGACAUUAACUGACGCUGAGGCGCGAAAGCGUGGGGAGCAAACAGGAUUAGAUACCCUGGUA
rnacentral:rRNA from 1 species